UAUACGCAAGUGAUGCACGUUUAAAAGAGCAGCCGCACAAAAUUUCAGCGGUUCUUUUUUCAUUUUUUAAUUUCUUCGCUCCUCCUCCUUUCCCUUCUCAGCUUCUUCUCUGGUUCUUCUCUACCAAACCGCCUUACUCUUCAUCUCCCUACCACGUCGCCGCUGGUCUUCCUCUUCCUGCCGCGUCGCUCUUCCUUCCCCCACCGCCGCUAACCUCUAAUUUUUCGUUAAUUAACCAUUUUUAUGCAAAUCAAGGGUUGUUGAACUACUUGUUUGUUGCAAUUUUCUUUCUCAAUUGCCAGAUUUACAAAAUUUUUGAACUUUAUUUUAGGGUUUUUGUUCUAGUUUUGUUGUUCGUUGAUGUGUCAAUUAGACAAUUUGUCUAUUUAAUUUCAAAAAAUUAUACCGUAUUGACCUUGUUCUUGUAAAAGUAUGGGAUUGCAUUGUUUAUUUGGGAAUAUCAAGGUUUGUCAAUAGAAUUGGUUUGUUAUAGUGAUUCCAUUGUAGUUGUUUUCCUUGUAUUAGUUAGUUUGACAGAUUGUCAGAAAUUGAGCUUCAUUUAAGCUUAAUCUGUACUCAAGUACACGUUCUUGGUUAUUCUUUUUGUAAGUUUUACAGAAAAAUGAUCUAUUAUUGCAAAACUAUUUUGCUUUGAAGUUUAAUGAUAUUUCUUAGGGAAUUGGAAGUAACAAAUACUUAAUUAAUUUCUUAGGUAGCACUUGUAACUUGUAAGUGAAACUGUAUUUUGUAAGUUCUACCUACGCAGAUUGCUUUACUUAGAUGAGCAAUAGGAGCCAUAGGGCUGGAUGAAGAGUACCAGCUUCUAUCAGAAUGAGUAAAAAGACUUCCAGCAGAACCAUUAAGGUGUUUUCGAUUUUGUUCUCUAAAGCUGUGUCUACUGUUUGUAGAUUCAGAAAAAUACAAGAGUUUCUGCUGGAAGAGAUUAGAAUGUGAUGGAGAUUGCUUUCAUAGCAUCUUGUAGAUGCCAAGAUUCAACCCUUGCUUUUGCUAUGAGUCAUUUGUUUACAGUUAGUCUGUACUAUGUAGUCAUUUUUGUAAGGGUGUGUAGUUUUGGUGUUUUUCGUUAAGUUGGCGCAGCUGUUGUUGCUUGCUCUCUCUCCGUAAUUUUUUUUUGUUGUUGUUGCUUGUACUCCUGCCUUUUUUGUUUUUGCUAAUGUGGACUGCUCUCAAAGAUGUAUCACCGUUCUUAUGUUUUUUUAUCGCUAAUAUUGCUAGCCUGUUAAUAUUCUCUUAUCAUCGUAAAUACCAAGGUUUUUACAUGAUCUUUGUAGUGAAGCUAAUGCCAUAGUAGAGAUAUAGUUGACUUCUCAUCCAAACACUUGAUUUCAUUAAAAGAUUGCAGAGAUGUGGAUGUGGAUGGUUCUCUUCCUUUUAGUAUGAGUUCAUAAUAGGUUUAACGUUUUCACUUUUCUGCAUUCAUAAUUUCUCCACAAAAGAAAGACAGAAACACUAGUAGAAAAAUCGACAUGUGCUUCCCUUCAAGUGCGGCUCAUAUAGUAAAUUGGCAGCACUUGUGAUCACUAAAACAAAACAUUUUCACAAGUGCGGGUCAUUUUAGAAAAGUAGCAGCACUUGAGUUUAAGUGCGGGCUUUAAAACUCAAGUGAGGGCUCAUUUCACAAGUGCCGCACAAAACUUUUCUAAAUAUACAAUUAAAAAAAACAAAUUUCUAAAAUUAACGAAGCUUCAUUUUCGCUCUCCCCAAUUUUCUCCCUCUUCACCUUCGUUUUCUCUCUCCUCUGCGGUCGCCGUUUCUUCUUCACCGCCGAAUCUCUCCGCCAUUGCGUAGUUUCUCAUUGAUGUUGGGGGGUUGAUUGUUGUAGUAGCUUCACCCUCUAUCUCACUUGUCUUUGCGAUCUCCCUCGUCUCCAGUCACUGCGCUCUCCCUCGUCUCCAGUCUGUACCGCCGCCGCCAACGGUGGUCCUGAAUCCACCACCAACUAGGCAGAGAUGAAGAAUAGACCAGAAGAUUCGAGUCACCCUAAUUUGAAGAAAUCGUUCAACUAUUCAGGUGAAUUAAGUUGCCCAUUGUGGGUGUUUAGGGCCGAAGUGUGUUGGGUUUAAUCGGGUGGGGUCUGCAUCAGCUGCUACAACAACAUUUUUGGCUCUUUGAGUGAGUCGAGUGAGCACGUUUAAUGCUAACGCAUACAAUCAGAUGGGUUCUGCAUCUGCUCUACAUCACCGUCUUUGGCUCUUGGAGUGACAAAGUUGAGAGGUGUUUGCACGACAUCUUCGCUAUUUAGUAAAUAUGAAGAUGGGGACAUCGUGAAUAAGUUACAAGAGAUGUAUGAGGUACUCAAAAAUUCGAGGGAGGAGCCUUUCACGAUUGAAGAGAUAAAUGAAGUUCGAGAAAAGUUGGCAAACUUCAUUUCUAGUGAUUGUCUUUGAUAUUUUCUUGUAGUGAAUUUUAGUAUUGUUUUUGAUAUUUCCUUGUAAUGAAUUUUAGGUUACGGAUGCUAGUUUUUUAUGACUGUUAUGUAAUCAAGUUUUCAACUGUACAAUUUAAUUAUCUAUAUAAUUGGGUACUUUUUUAUAUGAUGUAUGGAGGUUAACUAGUGGCGUGGUCCAAUUAUAUAAAAUAUGUGGCAUGAAAAUAGGAUAUAUAACAAAUACGGCUCGUUUAUAGGCUCGUAUAUAUAUAUAUCACAAGUGCGGACUCAUUCCCAAAAUUGGCAGCACAAAAGUUGUCAAGUGCGGGCUCAUUUACAAAAUUGUCAACACAAAGUUUAUCAAGUGCGGGCUCAUUUUAAAAAUUGGCAGCACAAAAGUUGUCAAGUGCGGGCACAUUUAAAAAAUUGGCAGCACAAAGUUUGUCAAGUGCGGGCACGUAUUCGAAAAUUGGCAGCACAAACUUUGUCAAGUGCGGGCACGUAUUCGAAAAUUGGCAGCACAAAGUUGUCAAGUGCGGGCACAUUUUCUAAAUUGGCAGCACAAAAAUAGUUUUGUGCGGGCUCAUAUAUUGGCAGUACUUGAGAAAUGGCAAGUGCGGGCAGGCCAUGUGCUGCACAUGUAAAAGCCCGCACUAAACCCUUUAAAAUGAGCCCGCACUUGAGGUUUUUUCCUCUAGUGAAAUAUCUUGAUCACCGAGGCAAUUAGAAACGAAAACAACUUGCUUUAGAUAAAGUUUGAGUCUGUUUGUUCAAUGCCUUCACGUGAAACUAAUUGAUGUCCUCCUUUCUUUCUUAUUCAUUCGGUGGAAAGUACUAUACGGAGCAGGGUCAACAAUACAUGGUAUAUAAUUUUAUAUUUUAUAUUAUUUUUAGAAUCUGGCUGAUAUGAUUAUUUCUUUAACAGGUCCCCAAACUUCUAUUGCACAUAAAUUUUCCCCAGCGUUUGAUAUGCUAUUUGGAUUGAUGAAAAACUUAAGCUCCUACAGGAUCCACACCAAGUUCUUGAAAGGUAUUCGAAAAUCCAAAGGAGAUGCCCUUCACCACUGAGGAGAUAGAUUAAGUUCGAGACAAAUUGAUAAACUUCAUUACUAGUUAUUGUCUUUGUUAUUUUGAACUUUUUUUUUUCUUGUAAAGAAUCUUAGGUUAUGAAUGCUCGUUUUUCAAUUGAUUAUAACAUAACCGACGUUCAGAUUAAUAUUUAUAUACUAUUUAAUUUAAUUAUCUAUAUAAUUGGAUACUUUUUUUAGUGAUGUAUGGAGGUUAAUUAGUGGCGUGGUUGUAUUGAAUAAUAUAUG